UACGGGGGGGCAAGCGUUGUUCGGAAUUACUGGGCGUAAAGGGCUCGUAGGCGGCCAACUAAGUCGGACGUGAAAUCCCUCGGCUUAACCGGGGAACUGCGUCCGAUACUGGAUGGCUUGAGUUUGGGAGAGGGAUGCGGAAUUCCAGGUGUAGCGGUGAAAUGCGUAGAUAUCUGGAGGAACACCGGUGGCGAAGGCGGCAUCCUGGACCAACACUGACGCUGAUGAGCGAAAGCCAGGGGAGCAAACGGG
rnacentral:rRNA from 1 species